GACAGCACAUUUGUUACCAGCAGGCG
rnacentral:piRNA from 1 species